CUACGGAGGGUGCAAGCGUUAAUCGGAAUUACUGGGCGUAAAGCGUACGUAGGCGGUUAGUUAAGAUAGAUGUGAAAGCCCCGGGCUUAACCUGGGAACUGCAUUUAAAACUGGCUAACUAGAGUUAAGUAGAGGGGAGUGGAAUUUCAGGUGUAGCGGUGAAAUGCGUAGAGAUCAGAAGGAACACCAGUGGCGAAGGCGACUCCCUGGACUUGAACUGACGCUGAGGUACGAAAGCGUGGGUAGCAAACGGGAUUAGAUACCCCAGUAGUCC
rnacentral:rRNA from 1 species